GAUGAACGCUGGCGGCGUGCCUAAUACAUGCAAGUCGAGCGAACAGACGAGGAGCUUGCUCCUCUGACGUUAGCGGCGGACGGGUGAGUAACACGUGGAUAACCUACCUAUAAGACUGGGAUAACUUCGGGAGACCGGAGCUAAUACCGGAUAAUAUAUUGAACCGCAUGGUUCAAUAGUGAAAGACGGUUUUGCUGUCACUUAUAGAUGGAUCCGCGCCGCAUUAGCUAGUUGGUAAGGUAACGGCUUACCAAGGCAACGAUGCGUAGCCGACCUGAGAGGGUGAUCGGCCACACUGGAUCUGAGACACGGUCCAGACUCCUACGGGAGGCAGCAGUAGGGAAUCUUCCGCAAUGGGCGAAAGCCUGACGGAGCAACGCCGCGUGAGUGAUGAAGGUCUUCGGAUCGUAAAACUCUGUUAUUAGGGAAGAACAAAUGUGUAAGUAACUAUGCACGUCUUGACGGUACCUAAUCAGAAAGCCACGGCUAACUACGUG
rnacentral:rRNA from 1 species